GCCAGACUCCUACGGGAGGCAGCAGUGAGGAAUAUUGGUCAAUGGGCGGGAGCCUGAACCAGCCAAGUCGCGUGAGGGAAGACGGUCCUACGGAUUGUAAACCUCUUUUGCCGGGGAGCAACGGGGUCCUUGCGAGGGCCCGAUGAGAGUACCCGGAGAAAAAGCAUCGGCUAACUCCGUGCCAGCAGCCGCGGUAAUACGGAGGAUGCGAGCGUUAUCCGGAUUUAUUGGGUUUAAAGGGUGCGUAGGCGGGCUUUUAAGUCAGCGGUAAAAAUUCGGGGCUCAACCCCGUCCGGCCGUUGAAACUGGGUGCCUUGAGUGGGCGAGAAGUACGCGGAAUGCGUGGUGUAGCGGUGAAAUGCAUAGAUAUCACGCAGAACUCCGAUUGCGAAGGCAGCGUACCGGCUCCACACUGACGCUGAGGCACGAAAGCGUGGGUAUCGAACAGGAUUAGAUACCCGUGUA
rnacentral:rRNA from 1 species